GACAGAGGGUGCAAACGUUGUUCGGAAUUACUGGGCGUAAAGGGCGCGUAGGUGGCCUUCUAAGUUGAACGUGAAAUCCCUGGGCUCAACCCAGGAACUGCGUCCAAGACUGGGAGGCUUGAAUCCGGGAGAGGGAUGCGGAAUUCCAGGUGUAGCGGUGAAAUGCGUAGAUAUCUGGAGGAACACCGGUGGCGAAGGCGGCAUCCUGGACCGGUAUUGACACUGAGGCGCGAAAGCCAGGGGAGCAAACGGG
rnacentral:rRNA from 1 species